GGUGAACGCUGGCGGCGUGCCUAAUACAUGCAAGUCGAGCGAACAGACGAGGAGCUUGCUCCUUUGACGUUAGCGGCGGACGGGUGAGUAACACGUAGGUAACCUACCUAUAAGACUGGGAUAACUUCGGGAAACCGGAGCUAAUACCGGAUAAUAUUUCGAACCGCAUGGUUCGAUAGUGAAAGAUGGCUUUGCUAUCACUUAUAGAUGGACCUGCGCCGUAUUAGCUAGUUGGUAAGGUAACGGCUUACCAAGGCAACGAUACGUAGCCGACCUGAGAGGGUGAUCGGCCACACUGGAACUGAGACACGGUCCAGACUCCUACGGGAGGCAGCAGUAGGGAAUCUUCCGCAAUGGGCGAAAGCCUGACGGAGCAACGCCGCGUGAGUGAUGAAGGUCUUCGGAUCGUAAAACUCUGUUAUUAGGGAAGAACAAACGUGUAAGUAACUGUGCACGUCUUGACGGUACCUAAUCAGAAAGCCACGGCUAACUACGUG
rnacentral:rRNA from 1 species